rnacentral:rRNA from 1 species
AGAACUCUACAGUUAAGCAUGCUUGGGAUAGAGUAGUACUGGGAUGGGUGACCUCUCGGGAACUCCUAGUGUCUUACAUG